rnacentral:rRNA from 1 species
AAUAGAUACCCAGGUAGUCCACGCCGUAAACGAUGAGUGCUAAGUGUUAGAGGGUUUCCGCCCUUUAGUGCUGCAGCUAACGCAUUAAGCACUCCGCCUGGGGAGUACGGCCGCAAGGCUGAAACUCAAAGGAAUUGACGGGGGCCCGCACAAGCGGUGGAGCAUGUGGUUUAAUUCGAAGCAACGCGAAGAAUCUUACCAGGUCUUGACAUCCUCUGCCAACCCUAGAGAUAGGGCGUUCCCCUUCGGGGGACAGAGUGACAGGUGGUGCAUGGUUGUCGUCAGCUCGUGUCGUGAGAUGUUGGGUUAAGUCCCGCAACGAGCGCAACCCUUGAUCUUAGUUGCCAGCAUUCAGUUGGGCACUCUAAGGUGACUGCCGGUGACAAACCGGAGGAAGGUGGGGAUGACGUCAAAUCAUCAUGCCCCUUAUGACCUGGGCUACACACGUGCUACAAUGGAUGGUACAAAGAGCUGCGAACCCGCGAGGGUAAGCGAAUCUCAUAAAGCCAUUCUCAGUUCGGAUUGU